AGAAACCAUGAUUCUUUAAUCACAUUGUGAUUUCAAGAAUCAUUCAUUGACCUAAAAAUCCAAUCUUUUUCAAUUCUUGAAAGCCCCUAUGACAUGGCAUUGAAGAGGGGUUCAUCAGGUUUAGGCACCCAAAGGAACAGAAGUGCUGGAUCUAGCUUCCCAAUUGUGAUUCUUAUCUUCUGUUCAUUCCUUGCUCCUUUGAUUUUCUUUGUUGGACGUGGCCUCUACACCUCUACUUCAGUUGAUCAUAAUGAUUUUUCAACUACUUCAAGUAAACAGGAUAUUGAUUGGAGACAGCGGCUUGCUCUUCAACAAAUCAAACCUUUGUUGACAAAAGAGGUGAUUGACAUCAUCAAAGCCAGUACUGAUGAUUUAGGACCUCUCAGUCUUGAUUCUCUUAGAAAGAACAAUUUGUCUGCCUCAUGGAAAUUUGUUGGGCAAGAAAUUGUAGCCAAGAAAAGUGCAGCUGAUGCACAGGUAAAUAAGCCGAGUCAGGUAGCUGCAGCAGAUUCCAAACCAGAAAUCACCAGAGGCAAACGUGAUGGUCCUGUUGAUGGGGAUCAUUCCCAGUUUGUGGAUUCAACUGCUAAGUUUGCCAGAAGGCAAUUGCGAGAGAGAAGACGUGAAAAGCGUGCUGCUGAUUUAGUGAAACGGGAUGAUGAUGUGACUGUGAAGCUUGAAAAUGCUGCCAUCGAACGGUCCAAGUCAGUUGACUCUUCUGUGCUGGGAAAGUACAGUGUAUGGAGGAAAGAAGCUGAUAAUGAUAACACUGAUUCAACAGUGCGCUUGAUGCGAGAUCAAAUGAUUAUGGCAAGGGUGUACAUAAGCAUUGCAACAAUGAAAAAAAAACUGGAUUUGGCCCAUGACUUACAGGCUCGGCUUAAAGAAAGUCAGCGUGCAUUAGGUGAUGCAGGCUCGGAUGCUGAUCUAACACGCAGUGCACAUGAGAAAAUGAAAGCUAUGGGCCA
rnacentral:misc_RNA from 1 species